GUGUCAGCCGCCGCGGUAAUACGGAGGGUGCAAGCGUUAUCCGGAUUCACUGGGUUUAAAGGGUGCGUAGGCGGGCAUGUAAGUCCGUGGUGAAAUCUCCGAGCUUAACUCGGAAACUGCCAUGGAUACUAUGUGUCUUGAAUGUUGUGGAGGUGAGCGGAAUAUGUCAUGUAGCGGUGAAAUGCUUAGAUAUGACAUAGAACACCAAUUGCGAAGGCAGCUCACUACACAAAUAUUGACGCUGAGGCACGAAAGCGUGGGGAUCAAACAGGAUUAGAUACCCGCGUAGUCC
rnacentral:rRNA from 1 species